rnacentral:rRNA from 1 species
UAUUGAUAUUGGACCCAAAGGGUACAAUGAUUGAAAUGAGAACAAUAUAAAAAACUUAACGACUAACAAUUGGAGGGCAAGUCUGGUGCCAGCAGCCGCGGUAAUUCCAGCUCCAAGAGUGUAUAUUAAAGUUGUUGCGGUUAAAAAGCUCGUAGUUGAAUUUCUGAAAAUAAUCUUGUGAUUGAUUUAACCGUCAUGAACAAAAAUUGUUUACAUACUUGAUAGAUGGAAACAUUUAUCUUAAUGACUUUGAAAAAAUUAGAGUGUUCAAAGCAUGAUUCACAUUUGAAUAAUACAGCAUGGGAUAAUAUAAUAUGACAUUAGUUAAAAUUUGUUGGUUUCUUUGGCUAAUGUAAUGAUUAAAAGGGACAGUUGGAGUAAUUUAUAUUGGUUGGGGAGGGGUGAAAUCCUAUGAUCCUUCCAAGAUAAACUAGUGCGAAAGCAUUUUACUAGGAUGUUUUCAUUAAUCAAGAACGAAAGUUGGGGAUCGAAGAUGAUCAGAUACCGUCGUAGUCUCAACCAU